CAGUGUCUGGUGGGUAGUUUGACUGGGGCGGUCUCCUCCUAAAGAGUAACGGAGGAGCACGAAGGUUGGCUAAUCCUGGUCGGACAUCAGGAGGUUAGUGCAAUGGCAUAAGCCAGCUUGACUGCGAGCGUGACGGCGCGAGCAGGUGCGAAAGCAGGUCAUAGUGAUCCGGUGGUUCUGAAUGGAAGGGCCAUCGCUCAACGGAUAAAAGGUACUCCGGGGAUAACAGGCUGAUACCGCCCAAGAGUUCAUAUCGACGGCGGUGUUUGGCACCUCGAUGUCGGCUCAUCACAUCCUGGGGCUGAAGUAGGUCCCAAGGGUAUGGCUGUUCGCCAUUUAAAGUGGUACGCGAGCUGGGUUUAGAACGUCGUGAGACAGUUCGGUCCCUAUCUGCCGUGGGCGCUGGAGAACUGAGGGGGGCUGCUCCUAGUACGAGAGGACCGGAGUGGACGCAUCACUGGUGUUCGGGUUGUCAUGCCAAUGGCACUGCCCGGUAGCUAAAUGCGGAAGAGAUAAGUGCUGAAAGCAUCUAAGCACGAAACUUGCCCCGAGAUGAGUUCUCCCUGACCCUUUAAGGGUCCUGAAGGAACGUUGAAGACGACGACGUUGAUAGGCCGGGUGUGUAAGCGCAGCGAUGCGUUGAGCUAACCGGUACUAAUGAACCGUGAGGCUUAACCUU
rnacentral:rRNA from 1 species